GACGAACGCUGGCGGCGUGCCUAAUACAUGCAAGUAGGACGCAGUUGCGAACGGGUGAGUAACGCGUCGGUAACUACCGAUUAGCGGGGGAUAACUCUUGGAAACGAUAGCUAAUACCGCAUACUAAUAGAGGUACCUGCGUUGUAUUAGAUAGUAGGUAGGGUAAUGGCCUACCUAGGCAACGAUACAGAGCCGAGCUUAGUGGGUGAUCGGCCACACUGGGAAUGAGAAACGGCCCAGACUCCUCCGGGAGGCAGAAGUAGGGAAUCUUCGGCAAUGGGGGGAACCCUUACCGAGCAACGCCGCGUGAGUGAAGAAGGUUUUCGGAUCGUAAAGCUCUGUUGUUAAGGAAGCGGUACUUAACCAGAAAGGGCCGGCUAACUACGUGCCAGCAGCCGCGGUAAUAC
rnacentral:rRNA from 1 species